UGCCAAUCUGGAGUCUGGACUGGUAAUCAGCUACACCUCUGUCCAAUUAGGUCUUCUCCAGGGGAACCUGGUUUAACAAUGAGAUUCUCAGACUGUAUGGUGAUGAGUGCCUAGAAAUACCUGAGAUCAUCUCUAUAGCCCUGGAACAAAUUCGAAGGGACCUGCAUCGAGCUUGGAAUGCUACAGAAUGGACGAUGUGAUGCCUAAAGAGAAAGUGAAGAAUCCGAACUGAUACCCGGUUCAUCUACAAAAUAAAUCUGUAUUGCAGAAAAAUUUAAAAUAAAUUGUUAAAUGAGA